rnacentral:rRNA from 1 species
GAGUUUGAUUAUGGCUCAGGACAAACGCUGGCGGCGUGCUUAACACAUGCAAGUCGAACGAUGAAACGGAACGGAAAUUUUCGGAUGGAAGUUCUGUGGAUUAGUGGCGGACGGGUGAGUAAUGCAUGAAGAACCUGCCUUUCACAUAGGAAUAGCCUCGGGAAACCGGGAUUAAUACCAAAUGACACUCCGAGAUCGCAUGGUUUUGGGGUUAAAGAUUUUAUCGGUGAAAGAUGGCUUCAUGUCCCAUUAGCUGGUUGGUGAGGUAACGGCUCACCAAGGCGACGAUGGGUAGCCGGCCUGAGAGGGUGAACGGCCACAUUGGAACUGAGACACGGUCCAAACUCCUACGGGAGGCAGCAGUGGGGAAUAUUGCACAAUGGAGGAAACUCUGAUGCAGCGACGCCGCGUGAGCGAUGAAGGUCUUCGGAUCGUAAAGCUCUGUCCUAAGGGACGAUAAUGAC